rnacentral:lncRNA from 1 species
AUUAUAUUAUAUUUGAAUUCAAUGUCUUAUCCACAUUACAACCUUUUACGUUUUACCCCCAAGAUUUUCUAAGAUUUCGGUCGUUUUACCCCCAAAAGUUACGUUUUACUCCCGAAAUUAACCACAAUUCAAGGUAGCCUUUCUCUACGAUCUUCCAUACAUCUUGCAAUCUGAAAAAUGCCUUCAUCCAUAUGCUCCAAUUAUCGUAGUUAUCCUUGUUCAGUUGGGGGACUUAAAAAAGAAUCAUCCCACUUGCCAUUUUUCACAAGGAUUUUAGAGCUUUGAUAGAAGAAGAGGUUUACUAAUUUGAAUUUCCUAAGACUUUUAGAAAGGACAACACUAAUAGAAGGAAGUAAGUUAACAAAAAGGAAACUUGUAUUUCUCAACUUCAAAACUCG